rnacentral:lncRNA from 1 species
CCCCGUUAUGUUUAAUUGCAACCCUCUUCUUCUUUUUCUUCUUGUAAGGAAUUCCUCUAGCCUUAGCUUGAGAAUCUCUCACCUCACGAAGAUAGAUUCUUAUGGAACCACUAGCAAAAGGAUUAGUUUCAGGUAAUCCACCAUUUUCUUCAUAAGCAGCUCUUAAUCUUCCAAUUAGUGCAUCAAGACUUCCCCAAGCUUGUUUUAGAGGACAAGUACAUGGUCCAGGUGGUUCGGUUUGUCCGAAAAACAAACAACCUUGUAAGUGCACUUUUGUUUUUCCAAAUUGAUCCAAGUACCUUAGGAAUUCAAGAACAUGGUUUGAAUUACAAUUUGAUAGUGCCACUGGUGGUCUUUGAUUCCUUAAGUAUUGUCCAAAAGUGUUCCAAUCUCUUCUCUUUUGUGACUCGUAUCGACUAAGCGGAAUUUGUUGUUGCUGCUGCUGAUUUUGAUCAUCACCUAUUGAAGAUCUUGAUGAUCCUUCAACUAUGUCUUUUCCUUUGUUGGACAUAUCUUUCUUAAGAUUAAUUCAUUUAGUAUUUCUUUAUUAUGAAAGGGAAGGUUUUUUUGGUUUGGUGGAGAGUGAGAAGAAGGGAGAGAAGAGAGAAGACAAUAGAAUAGAAGUGGAAGAAAUAUAUUUAAAACUAAAAAUGAAAAAAAUAAUUUAGGGUAUCACAUCAAAGGGCUAAUGAGGGGACAAUGUAUGGGACCAAUGAAAGUGCUUUAGCCUUUCUUUUUCUUCAUUGCCUACAUUAUUUUCUUGCUUUAAUGGUACAAUUAGUAUUAAUCAUACUUUAUUUUUUUCCACAUUUUUUAAUUUUUUUUUAUCAUUGUGCUUCCAUCAUCAAAGCAAUUAUUAAUGGGUAAUUUAGAGUAAUUAGC